CCUACGGGAGGCAGCAGUGGGGAAUAUUGCACAAUGGGCGAAAGCCUGAUGCAGCGACGCCGCGUGAGGGAUGACGGCCUUCGGGUUGUAAACCUCUUUCAGCAGGGAAGAAGCGAAAGUGACGGUACCUGCAGAAGAAGCGCCGGCUAACUACGUGCCAGCAGCCGCGGUAAUACGUAGGGCGCAAGCGUUGUCCGGAAUUAUUGGGCGUAAAGAGCUCGUAGGCGGCUUGUCACGUCGGGUGUGAAAGCCCGGGGCUUAACCCCGGGUCUGCAUUCGAUACGGGCUAGCUAGAGUGUGGUAGGGGAGAUCGGAAUUCCUGGUGUAGCGGUGAAAUGCGCAGAUAUCAGGAGGAACACCGGUGGCGAAGGCGGAUCUCUGGGCCAUUACUGACGCUGAGGAGCGAAAGCGUGGGGAGCGAACAGGAUUAGAUACCCUGGUAGUCCACGCCGUAAACGGUGGGAACUAGGUGUUGGCGACAUUCCACGUCGUCGGUGCCGCAGCUAACGCAUUAAGUUCCCCGCCUGGGGAGUACGGCCGCAAGGCUAAAACCUUAAAUGAAUUGACGG
rnacentral:rRNA from 1 species